rnacentral:lncRNA from 1 species
UAUCAAAACUCGCCCAAACACAAACAUUUAUGAAUAUAAAUUUCACUCUUCACAUUAUAGAAUGUAUUCAAGUUGGAAACACAACCUACAUGUUUCUUCAAUUCUAGUUUAUUAGAGAAGUAUAUAUAUCAGCUACAUAAAUGCAAGGAAGACCCAUCACAGUAGCCCUUGUGCACAAAUAAGGUACUGGUCAUCAGAAAGGAACUUCCGGUAACGGGAGAGGAUCCAAGCUUCAACUAAAGAGGUGGAUACAAAAACUACAGUGGUGUAGUAUAAGAAACACAUCGGGAAUUUUGUAGAAUCUCAAAGACAAGUACUGCAGUCCCCAAAAUGACAGUGAUCCUCAUCACUCGAAACAAAAUGAAGAUUUCCUUUCUCUAUUUUAACGCCUCUGCAGACCCGAGCUUAUUUUACAUUCGUAUCCAAUCAUAUAAAGAAACAUUUAUUGCAUCUGAAUUGAUGCUUCCUUUUUGCUCGCUAAGCAUCUACCUGACCUCAAACUGUUUGUUCGACUUGUUCUUGUUUAUCAUCAUCUGUCAGUUGGCUUCUAAGGAAGUCUAGAACUGAUAGCCGCUAUAAGAACAAAAACAUAUGUUAAUUUCAAGAUCUUAUGUUGAAAUGCAGCACAAAAUGAAACCUAAACAAACAUGAUUGGUGUAAAUUACAUAAUGAAACUUCGGUGAGUAUAUAAGCUAGUAAGGUAAAAUCCACUUAAUAAGGCCCUUUUGGACAAACAUCUAAUUAAGUGCUUAGUGUAAGACCUCAUCAUACAAGUGCUUAGGUUAUUUCUAUACAAACCAAACAACCAAGCCUUAUCCCACUAGUGGAGUCGGCUACAUGGAUCAAAUUUUGCCAUAAUGUUCUAUCAACAAUACAUUUCUAUGACGGUAAAUAAAAUUGAUCUUUUUCCUAUAAAUUAUAAACAUUUUCAUAAACUAUCUUAAAGAGGUUACAUAAAUAAGCUAAAAAUUACUUAUGGAUAUGUCAUAAGUUGUUUCUAUAAAUUCUCCAGAAUAUUGCUCUACAUGGGNGCAUGAAUUUGAAAUGUUUGACCUAGGAAAUGUUUCAUAUUUCUUAGGGAUGGAGUUUAAAGACACAUGUGAAAGAAUGUUCUUGCACCAGAAGAAGUAUGCUCAAGAAAAGGUUCAAGAUGAGCAACUGUAGUAAAACUGCCACACCAUUCGACACCGGAGCAAAAUUGAGAAAGAAUACAAAUGAUGAAUUUGUAAGUGCACAUUGUACAAGUAAAUAAUUGGAUCCUUAAGGUAUAUAUAAGCAAUACCAGACCCGUCAUUUGUCAAAAAGUUGUGCUAUUAAGCUGAGUUAUGAAGAAGCCAUAAAAAUGUCAUCUCAAUGUAGUAAAGAGAGUGUUAAGAUACAUAAAGGGAACAAUCGACCAUGGUGUGUUAAUUUCAAAUGUGUUAAUUUCAAGGUAGAAGAAUACAAACACAGAUGUAGAGAUACAUGGCUACACUAAAUUUGAUUUAAGUGGAGACCAAAAUAAAAAGAAAAGUAUUGCACACAAUAUAUUUAUGACCGGUGUAGCACCAAUCUCUUGGAGCUCAAUAAAGAAAAGUUUUACAAAAUGAAUUCUACUCAAAAACGUGUUUAUCAAAACUCGCCCAAACACAAAGAUUUAUGAAUAUUCUAUAAAUUUCACUCUUCACAUUAUAGAAUGUAUUCAAGUUGGAAACACAACCUACAUGUUUCUUCAAUUCUAGUUUAUUAGAGAAGUAUAUAUAUCAGCUACAUAAAUGCAAGGAAGACCCAUCACAAUAGCCCUUGUGCACAAAUAAGGUACUGGUCAUCAGAAAGGAACUUCCGGUAACGGGAGAGGAUCCAAGCUUCAACUAAAGAGGUGGAUACAAAAACUACAGUGGUGUAGUAUAAGAAACACAUAGGGAAUUUUGUAGAAUCUCAAAGACAAGUACUGCAGUCCCCAAAAUGAUAAUGAUCCUCAUCACU